GGGUAGUCUUGUGAUUCAUUGCCAGUAGGCUCCCUGUGGAGGGAUGGUUAAUGAGGAUUGAAGUUUCAUUUAAAUUUUCUUUUCAAAAAUCUUUUCUUUCCGUGAAGAUGAAAGUAAAGAGUUUCCAGACAAGCUUAGCUGGAGUGCAUUACACUUCUCUGAAGUUUGAGAAUGGCAAAGAAAAUAUGGCUCCAGGAAUUCAUAACAGCUAUGUGGCAACCACCUGUCUGAAUCAUGAUUUCCUGUUUAAGCCACAGGUCCUCUAUUCAUCCUAUUU
rnacentral:lncRNA from 1 species